rnacentral:rRNA from 1 species
GACGAACGCUGGCGGCGUGCUUAACACAUGCAAGUCGAACGGAAAGGCCCUGCUUUUGUGGGGUGCUCGAGUGGCGAACGGGUGAGUAACACGUGAGUAACCUGCCCUUGACUUUGGGAUAACUUCAGGAAACUGGGGCUAAUACCGGAUAGGAGCUCCUGCUGCAUGGUGGGGGUUGGAAAGUUUCGGCGGUUGGGGAUGGACUCGCGGCUUAUCAGCUUGUUGGUGGGGUAGUGGCUUACCAAGGCUUUGACGGGUAGCCGGCCUGAGAGGGUGACCGGCACCAUUGGGCCUGGGAUACGGCCCAGACUCCUACGGGAGGAAGCAGUGGGAAAUAUGGCACAAUGGGCGAAAGCCUGAUGAGGCAAGGCCGGGGGCGGGAUGACGGCCUUCGGGUUGAAAACCGCUUUCGCCUGUGACGAAGCGUGAGUGACGGUAAUGGGUAAAGAAGCACCGGCUAACUACGUG